AUUACUGGUCAUUGGCGAAAGGGUGAGUAAUGGAUAGGUAACGUACCCCGGGCUCCGGGACAGCCAGCCGAAAGGUUGGGUAAUACCGGAUAGACAUCGCGGGCCGAUGGGCCUGUGAUCAAAGAUUUAUCGGCACGGGAGCGGCCUAUCUCCUAUCAGCUUGUUGGUGAGGUAACGGCCCACCAAGGCGAUGGCGGGUAGCGGGACUGAGAGGUUGGCCCGCCACAUCGGGACUGAGACACUGCCCGGACCCCCACGGGGGGCUGCAGUAACGAAUCUUGGGCAAUGGGCGAAAGCCUGACCCAGCGACACCGCGUGCGGGAGGAAGUCCUUCGGGAUGUAAACCGCUCUCAGACAAAGGAAAGUCCACUUCGGUGGAUUGAUCCGAGUCAGAGGAAGUCACGGCUAACUCUGUGCCAGCAGCCGCGGUAAGACAGAGGUGGCAAGCGUUGUUCGGUAUCACUGGGCUUAAAGCGUGUGUAGGCGGAAGCGUAAGCAUUUUGUGAAAUCCCCCGGCUCAACCGGGGCAUUGCUUGAUGUACUGCGCUUCUUGAGGCAGGUAGGGGUGCGAGGAACUCUUGGUGGAGCGGUGGAAUGCGUAGAUAUCAAGAGGAACGCCGGUGGUGAAGACGUCGCACUAGGCCUGUCCUGACGCUGAGACACGAAAGCGUGGGGAGCAAACGGGAUUAGAUACCCCGGUAGUCCACGCCGUAAACGAUGUCUACUAGGUUGUGGGGGUUCUGACGCCUGCACAGCCGAAGCAAAAGUGUUAAGUAGACCGCCUGGGGAGUACGGUCGCAAG
rnacentral:rRNA from 1 species